rnacentral:rRNA from 1 species
AGUGAACGCUGGCGGUAGGCCUAACACAUGCAAGUCGAACGGCAGCACAGUAAGAGCUUGCUCUUACGGGUGGCGAGUGGCGGACGGGUGAGGAAUACAUCGGAAUCUACUUUUUCGUGGGGGAUAACGUAGGGAAACUUACGCUAAUACCGCAUACGACCUACGGGUGAAAGCAGUGGAUCUUCGGACCUUGCGCGAUUGAAUGAGCCGAUGUCGGAUUAGAUAGUUGGCGGGGUAAAGGCCCACCAAGGCGACGAUCCGUAGCUGGUCUGAGAGGAUGAUCAGCGACACUGGAACUGAGACACGGUCCAGACUCCUACGGGAGGCAGCAGUGGGGAAUAUUGGACAAUGGGCGCAAGCCUGAUCCAGCCAUACCGCGUGGGUGAAGAAGGCCUUCGGGUUGUAAAGCCCUUUUGUUGGGAAAGAAAAGCAGCAGGUUAAUACCCCGCUGUUCUGACGGUACCCACAGAAUAAGCACCGGCUAACUUCGUG